UGGAGAUACAAAAUAAAUAAGUAAAUAUAUCUACACACUUACAUACCUAUGCAUAUAAACAACAUGUAGAUUCAUAAAGCCUGAUUAGAACUGGAACCAGAUUUUUAGUUUAAAAAACAACAAUGCUUAAUUUAAAAGUGCCUAAGUUACCUUUAAUGCCUUUGAUAACCUGCGGCAGUUUUAUUUUAAUAUCUUGCAGUAAAAAGACCUUGGCCCCGGAAUUCGGUAUUCAGAAUAAUUUCACCACAGGUUAAAGAAUACUGUUGCUAUCGAUGUUCAAAUGUGAAAACUGUUAUCAUUAUUUAAUUAUGCAUACUGUGCUUCUGCAAAUAACACUACUGAUAUUCGCAUAAAUGCGAUGAAUUUACAUGUACUCUGCUAGGCGAUAUGGCACCAGGUACCAGUGGAAAAUAAAAUUCACUGACGACGCAUGCAUACAUGUAUGGAAUAAUACAAUUAAUUUAGAGUCGCAGAUUUGAUCAAUGCGCAAUAACAAAUAAACAAACAAGUGUAACCAUUUUCAGAACCCUAGGUCCUGCUACUGUCUGUAACACCGGUACCAUCGUAUAUAAAGAUAUUUGAUUGUGUCGGUUUCUUUACAUAGGCGCAAUAAUCACGUUUGACGUUUUCCACUGUAUUUGGCGUAUAUAACACGGUAUAUGUCUUGCGCUAUCUGUCGCAAACUCCACAUCUAACCCAAAUUAAAAAUUUGCGGAAGGAAACGGACAAUUUCGAAAUGAAAUUUAAGACCAGUUUACAAGAAUGUCAAAAUAUCAGAGUGGAAAUGACUAGACAGUUGGUUUAUUCCAUGCCAAAAUGUUCAAACAGCAACCUGCAGAGUAAACAAGGAAGAGACGUUAGACGGCUGUUCCCGAACAGAGAAUAUCCUGAAUCCUCUUUUCCAGCCGCUACGAGCUCUUUUGCUUUAGCAUAAUUAAAAAUACAUAAAUAUAAAUAUAUCUUCUACCAACACCAAUUGCAAUACCAAUACCAAAAAAAAUAAAUUUAAAAACUUUAAAAAAUGUUCAACAGUAGAUCUUGUGCUAUAGAAUAUAUGUGCAUCCUCAAAAACUAAAUUGUAAUAAAAUUGUGGCUUAAAUUGGUGGGUAGUUCAAAUUAAAUUGGCUUAAUUAUUUAAUUUAUAGCUAUAAGGUGGUGGCGGGAGUGUCGAUUGCAAUAAAAUUAAGGAUACUUGAUAUAUGCAUCUACUAUUUAAAAAGCUAAGUUUGGUGACUCUAACCUCUUAAAAUUUGAUUUGCUCAAAAUAAGGAUUUCGGUAUCGAUUCUUAUUAAUUGCUUGGAAACGAGGCAAGGUUUCAAUUAUCGAAAACAACUCUUACUGCAUGAGCACUGGGACCUGCGUUCAAAAUUGUAAGUCUCUAGCUGUUAUAGGUUCUGAGAUCCUUGCGUUCAUACUAUUGUUGUAUCAAGUAUAUAAAUAUUUUCUGGGGUCGGAAAUGCUUUCUUUUGCCCGUUUACACACCUUUGCACAAGUAAAUUAUACCCAUUAAUUGGUUCAGAGUUUAACAAAUAAAAGGCUCUAGUCGGCAGUUCACGACAAGGGGAUACUUCGAACACUCUUCUACAUCAAAUGCAGCGCCUACGCUGCGAGCUCGCUGGUUUUAGAAGUAACACAACUUAAUUAAACUAGGAAGUGAAGUCAUUUCCGGCACGUCGAAGAUUUCACAAUCUUGUUGACUUUCCCUUUUAAAGAUAUAUGAGAAUAGAGCAGCGAGAAAAUGCUGAGUUUGUUGAAAAUAUCGUAGAAAAAUGUAUGUUUUGCCAUACAAAGUCUAACUAUUCCACGAUCUUUCUUAAAGCAGUUAUAUGAUAUAUAUGUGGUAAGAUCGAAACUACAUGUAUGGGGUAUAGCAAAACUUAGAAAUACGAAUUUGAUUAAAAUAUCUUAAUAUAAACAAAAAUUGUUCAAUACAAAUACUUAUUUUUCUACCGAUCGUUACUAUGGCAGUUAUAUUAUAUAGCUAUUCGUUGUAAGGAAGAUUAUGCAAAUGCCGAGGGGUAAGAUAACAUGAUAAACAAAAAAAUGUGUCAACUUCUGCACCGAUUGUUCCUCUGGUAUACGAUAUAGUGGUGUGAUUCGGCUGGAUCGGACAAAAAAAAAGACGUGUGAAAAGUUUGAAAACGGUAGCUAAGAGACUAAUUCGAAUAAAUAUACUCCAUGUGGUCUUAGAUGUCUCCUCCUAUGCCUUACACAUUUCAUACAAAAAUUAAAAUGCUCUUUAAGGGCAUAAAAUAAUUGGGCUCGUAGGCUCGUAAGAUAUUUGCCGAAAAAACAAAUGAUUUAUUAGUAGGACCUACGUUAAAAAUUGGAUGUUUUUAGCUUUUAUAGGCGAUUUAGCCAUCGACAAGUGAUACUGAUCGAGAAUACAUAUACUUUAUGGUGUCGGAGAUACUGCCUUCCGCCUGUUACAUACAUUUGAACAAUACCAUUAUACCCUUUUUAAACCUUCUGCAAUGGGUUCAGGAAAUAAAAAUACUAUGUCUAGCUAAAACGAAUAUAUAUUUAUAUACAUAAAAUAUAUAUUUCGAAAUAUGAGAGCCUUUCCUCGAUAUAUUUAAUUUGUUUUGAUUCUUAUUUCACUUACUAAGUCUCCUAAGUUGAGUUCGGUUAACGUUAAAUCAUUUUAUUUGUGAGCCUAUAAACAUAAACAAUGAUGUAACUCAGUUAUUUAAGUUCGAAAGAGUGGUGCUUGAUGAUUUAUAAACUUAGUCUUAAAACGAAUGCCUCAAGAGGAACGAGCACAUAUUUAGAUUCCUACUAAGCUUUUAAAUACUUUUAUUUAAAAAAAUUUUAAAAUUAUUCAGACCGUCUGCGUAAGUGACGUCCAUUCAUAUGUUUUAGCCAGUAAAGUUCAAUCAAUAAAUGGAUUGCGAUUUGAUGUAUCUCAGACUGGAUCAUCAGAUCAACAGGCCACUAAUCACCUGACAAUGAGGUUUUACUUAUAACAUUUAUUGAGAAGUUAUUAGCACUUAAGAAAGAAUUUUCUAGAAUUCGGUCCAUUGUGGCCACCGCAGGUUUCCCUGGUGUACAUUACAUUAUACAAUAGACGUUAUUGAUACGAGUAUCUGAUGAUCUAUAACUUUAUUGUUGCGUGAAAAAAAAAAUAGAAAAAUUGUUGGCUUAUCGCAUCAUUUGUUCCGUCAAAAUAUAUAUAUACAAAAUUCAUAUACUAGAACAUUAUUUAUCGAAAUUCAUAAGAAUAUUUGAAUAUGUUACAAUAUAGUGGGUACUUUAAAGAGAUAAGUCAAUUGAGUUGAGCCAUAGACAAAAUAAUAAAUAUAUAUAUACAUACAAAAUUCAUAUUGUAGUACAUUGCUUAUCGAAAUUCAUUACAUCAAUACUUUCAUAACAUAUGUUGCAAUAAAGUAGGUACUCUUAAGAGAUAAGUCAGUUGCGACAAACCGUAUAUAAUUGUUUAAAGCCAAAAUAGCUUUGAAAUUAGAAAAUAAUUGACUUAUAUAUUAAAUAGUUACAGCACUAAUCGUUCGUUUAUAGCACUUUUCACUCUGCUGAGACAAUCAAACAUACAUCUUACUAUACAAAAAAA